GGUAAAGUGACUGAAAUAUAGGUGAUAAACUGUAAAUUUAUUUAUGUGGAAAUUCCUCCUUUACCA
rnacentral:tRNA from 1 species